NNUGAAGAUUGACCAUCUCACAAAAGCUGUUACGCGCUUGUAACACACUACACACUCGUUUUGUAUUCGAGAAGUAGUUGCAACAACGGUCCCCUUAUUGCCUGACAAGCUGAGGGCCACCCUUCUAUCCCCACCGCCACCAUGUUCUU
rfam:Barley yellow dwarf virus PAV-Ill genomic RNA, complete genome.